UUUGACAAGAUAGCCAAAAAACAAUAUAAUAUAUCAAGCGGUUGCCUUUAAGCAGCUUCGCAUACAUGGUUUGGGUCCUGCGCAAUAGGAUGCCGUGAACCUUGUCAGGUCCGGAAGGAAGCAGCAAUAAGCGGAAGUUCUUAUGUGCCGCAGUUUCGCCUUCUCUAGGGUAUGCGAGGCUGCUUGAAGGCAAUUUUUAUUAGA
rnacentral:misc_RNA from 1 species